rnacentral:rRNA from 1 species
GACGAACGCUGGCGGCGUGCCUAAUACAUGCAAGUAGAACGCACAGUUUAUACCGUAGCUUGCUACACCAUAGACUGUGAGUUGCGAACGGGUGAGUAACGCGUAGGUAACCUGCCUGGUAGCGGGGGAUAACUAUUGGAAACGAUAGCUAAUACCGCAUAAUAUUAAUUAUUGCAUGAUAAUUAAUUGAAAGGUGCAAUUGCACCACUACCAGAUGGACCUGCGUUGUAUUAGCUAGUAGGUGAGGUAACGGCUCACCUAGGCGACGAUACAUAGCCGACCUGAGAGGGUGAUCGGCCACACUGGGACUGAGACACGGCCCAGACUCCUACGGGAGGAAGCAGUAGGGAAUCUUCGGCAAUGGACGAAAGUCUGACCGAGCAACGCCGCGUGAGUGAAGAAGGUUUUCGGAUCGUAAAGCUCUGUUGCAAGAGAAGAACGGGUGUGAGAGUGGAAAGUUCACACUGUGACGGUAUCUUACCAGAAAGGGACGGCUAACUACGUG